ACCCGCUGAACUUAAGCAUAUCAAUAAGCGGAGGAAAAGAAACCAACAGGGAUUGCCCCAGUAACGGCGAGUGAAGCGGCAACAGCUCAAAUUUGAAAUCUGGUCCCCCCGCGGGGCCCGAGUUGUAAUUUGAAGAGGAUGCUUCUGGCAAGGUGCCGUCCGAGUUCCCUGGAACGGGACGCCGCAGAGGGUGAGAGCCCCGUACGGUCGGACGCCGAGCCUCUGUGAAGCUCCUUCGACGAGUCGAGUAGUUUGGGAAUGCUGCUCAAAAUGGGAGGUAAACCCCUUCUAAAGCUAAAUACCGGCCAGAGACCGAUAGCGCACAAGUAGAGUGAUCGAAAGAUGAAAAGCACUUUGAAAAGAGAGUUAAAAAGCACGUGAAAUUGUUGAAAGGGAAGCGCUUGCGACCAGACUCGCGCCCGUCGGAUCAGCCGUCGCUCGUCGGCGGCGCACUCCGGCGGGCUCGGGCCAGCAUCAGUUCGCCUCGGGGGGAGAAAGGCGGCGGGAAUGUGGCUCUACGGAGUGUUAUAGCCCGCCGCGUAAUACCCCCGGGCGGACUGAGGACCGCGCGUAUGCAAGGAUGCUGGCGUAAUGGUCGUCAGCGACCCGUCUUGAAACACGGACCAAGGAGUCGUCCUAAUAUGCGAGUGUACGGGUGUCAAACCCCUGCGCGUAAUGAAAGUGAACGGAGGUGAGAGCUUCGGCGCAUCAUCGACCGAUCCUGAUGUUCUCGGAUGGAUUUGAGUAAGAGCAUAUUGGGCCGGACCCGAAAGAAGGUGAACUAUGCCUGUGUAGGGUAAAGCCAGAGGAAACUCUGGUGGAGGCUCGCAGCGGUUCUGACGUGCAAAUCGAUCGUCAAACAUGGGCAUGGGGGCGAAAGACUAAUCGAACCUUCUAGUAGCUGGUUUCCGCCGAGUUYYUCCCCUC
rnacentral:sRNA from 1 species